rnacentral:rRNA from 1 species
AUACGUAGGGGGCGAGCGUUGUCCGGAAUGAUUGGGCGUAAAGGGCGCGUAGGCGGCCCGGUAAGUCUGGAGUGAAAGUCCUGCUUUUAAGGUGGGAAUUGCUUUGGGUACUGUCGGGCUUGAGUGCAGGAGAGGUAAGUGGAAUUCCCAGUGUAGCGGUGAAAUGCGUAGAGAUUGGGAGGAACACCAGUGGCGAAGGCGACUUACUGGACUGUAACUGACGCUGAGGCGCGAAAGUGUGGGGAGCAAACAGGAUUAGAUACCCUGGUAGUCCACACUGUAAACGAUGAAUGCUAGGUGUAGGGGGUAUCGACCCCUUCUGUGCCGCAGUUAACACAAUAAGCAUUCCGCCUGGGGAGUACGGCCGCAAGGUUGAAACUCAAAUGAAUUGACGGGG